rnacentral:misc_RNA from 1 species
UGAAGGUGCUCAGUUCCUUAAGUAUUCUUCUUGGUACUUGAAUGAGAUAAUCUCAAGUCCAAAGAUUGAAGUUGGUUCCGUAGGUUUUGGUUCUCCUCAAGUAAGCGAUCAUACUCCAGAAGGAAUCCUUCAGAUUGCUUCCUCAGAGCUGCUGCAUUAGCUUCUGAAGCAUGAACCUCUUUUGUUUUCACCUCCAGUUCUGAUUCUAGUUGCUUAAGUUUUGCUAGUAGUGUGGUCAUCUCUUUUUCCAGGACUUUGCUCUCCUCAACUUUUCCAUCCUCAAUAACUCGAUUUUGUUUCUUCACAGCAUCCAUGCUCUUCCGCCGUAUACGGAGUUCUUUGAUAUAAUGGUGCAGUCUGUCCAUCGAUAGUGCAAGGAAGAGAGAGGAUCCCAUGAGAGUGGCCUCAAGAAGGUGCUUGGCCAUGAGAACCUGGUCCGUUGGAU